GCAUUAGUGGUGCAACGGUUAACAUGUGUUCUUUCUCUCGAAAUCUCCGAACACUGGCGGUCGCGUUCAGGGUUCGAUUCCCCGUUGAUGCA